CUUGUCUGUCCAUCAGGAUUCUCUGCUCACAGCUUCCAGAAACUCUGGCUAACGCUAGCACCACAGAAUCCACAGGAGCUACCGGAAGGACCUGGACCAGCCUCUGUCAUGAGGGAAGGAUAGCUAGAUGGCCAUAAGCAGUGAAUUAAAAAAAAAAAAACAAAACCUUCAAACUCCAUAAUUGGAAGAUAUUGAAAAUUCUUCAUACCAGCGGUCUGAAAUCAGGGAAAGGACUGGGAGGCCCUCCCUGAGUGUGGCCUGGCAGGGGGCCCUGUCACGGAUUCUGCAUGGGUAACGCUGGCCGUGGAGAAGUUUUGGAAGGGGAAACCAAAAAGCUUUGGAUCUUUUCCUGAAUUUUUUUGAUGUGCUUCUAAAGCAAGAAAAACCAUCUGUAAAAAGACCAGGAUAGGUGGACAGCAGAACAGUGUGGUCCUGCAGAAGCUGAAGCCUGACACUCCUUACACCAUCACCCUGUCCUCCCUGUAUCCUGAUGCAGAAGGAGGUUGGAUGACAGGAAGAGAACCUUUGAAUACAGUGAGGAACCUCAGUGUAUGACCCUUCCACCAGCA